UACAGAGGGUGCGAGCGUUAAUCGGAAUUACUGGGCGUAAAGGGCGCGUAGGCGGUUAUAUAAGUUAGAUGUGAAAUCCCCGGGCUUAACCUGGGAACGGCAUUUAAUACUGUAUGGCUAGAGUAGAAUAGAGGGAAGUGGAAUUUCCAGUGUAGCGGUGAAAUGCGUAGAUAUGUGGAGGAACACCUGUGGCGAAGGCGCCUUGCUGGCCAAUUUCUGACGCUGAGGCGCGAAAGCGUGGGGAGCAAACAGG
rnacentral:rRNA from 1 species